AAGCCAUUCACUGAAGGUGCGCCUUAUGCUCCGAAGCGCCUUGUAGUGCGGAAAAUACGGUACACACUGUAUAAGGAGUGUGGGUCUUGACCUGCUCAUUGAGACUUUGAAUGACUUCUGUUGCGAAUUGGCUUUACAUCAAUAAAACCGACUUGACUGGAAGGACAAGAAUAAAGUUGACUCCAAGAGUCCAGCAUCGACGGUACAACGUAACUCGUUGACCAUGAUUUAGUCAUUUACCUCACAUUUUACUAUGAGCUGGCAGAACUGAGAUUCCAUCGAUGAAUUUCCAGCAUACUGAAUGUGAAAGUGACGCUCCGCUAAAACGGAGCACCAUCUUUGUGUUUCUUCUUAGGCAGUCGUCUCGCUUCAAAGUCUCUGUUCUGAUUGAUAUUUUACAGAUUUUUGCACAAGGCACUUUUUACUAGGGCCUCGGGAUAAAAAUGAAAGUGGUGAUUUAUGUCUGGUUCGUAUUUCGCAACAAAGUAGCACAUCAUAGUAACAUUAAUCAAUACUCAAAUGUGAAGUAAAGUCCUGUUACAGUACAUCUUACGGAAUACCAGGAUGAGCGUGAAGGUUUUGGGAAUUCACCGUCAGAGGACUGAGCAUAUGGCCCCCUUUUUCAACACUUGACAUGGAAACAGAUGUGCUUGACAGCUGAUCCUUUUGGAAUCCAUGAUAACAUUUUGGGGAAAAUCAGGCUUUUGGAUGUCCCUAACCACAUGGGCUUUCAAUUUCAUCCAAAAAUAAAAAUAAAAAAAAUCACACAACCGAUGCCCACCUUCAAACUAAAUCCUGUUUUUAUUUGCGCUAAAUAGUUUCCCGAAAUAGGCUCGCUACACUCUCAAGAGCAGUAAGUGUUUCCUUUCCUAUUCCCCCCAGCUUUCAGUGAAAAAAAAAAAAAAAUCACAUUUUUGCCUUGCAGCCUUUACCGGUUUAAACAAUUAAGAAAAGGGACGGAAAUAAAGAUUGACCGAACAAAACGAUUGAAUUCCUCUCGUAGCUUUAUCAAUGCUUAAGCAUAUGCCAAACCAAUUGAAAUCAAUACAACACGAACGGCUUUGUUUAUUAAUGCCGACGGGCGAGACGCGGCCAUCCUCAAAGAGUGAUUUACGACUUGGGAUUGUUACACCUUGAUAUCAAUUACAAAGCACGACAUUUGGCAUUCACGCAUCCAUCAAUGUCUAAAUGCUCGGGGUCGUUUUUCUAACAUCCCUCAUGAUUCAUUUUUCAGGUACUGUAUUAUGUGAGGAAAAAAAUAAUAAUAAAAGAGCCCACAACUAUAAAUUCUGCCGGUGAGAGCAUUUAUCAAACGAGUGUAGAGAUUUGAUGUCGGCUACAAAUAAUGGCGCUUGUUCCAGUAGUCCUCACGAUAAAAACAACCCAAGUUAAGACUUCAAAGUCGAAUUUUUGUUUUUUCUUUUCUUCUCAAUAUGACAACUCACUGCAAGUGCAGUCAUCAGCUAGCUUUGACUGAAUUACACUCAAAUAGAACCAUUUGGUCCACUUUGGACUGUUUCAGUACAUACCUGUCUCCAAGAGACGGCUUGAGGAGACUUUUAAAUCGGUCUCCUGUUCUAUGUUGACCAUUAAAGGAAAGGCUAAACAGCCAUAACUUUAAAAAAAAAAAACAUACAAAGAAGGAAAGGAAA